GUAAACAAGUUUUAUUUAGAGUGGAUUUAUAUCAUACAUUAUUGCUGAAAGUAACACUUAAACCCAGGUUUUUUCAAAAGAGACUACAACGGGACAUCUGUGUCAGAACUGGGCUAAUGCCAACAGGACUGUCUUCAGCCAAGGGGCACAGUACCUCACCAAAUCAAAUGUGGCUAUUUGGUGCCUCUAUUCCAUAAGAAUACCAAACACCACUUCAAUAACUGCAGGUUUGUGAGAUGAAGAGCUCUCUCCAGCUGCGUAGUCUGAACUUCAUAAGCAGAAGAAAAUGUUUCUACAAACCAGACAACAGUGUGUAAGCAGCAGCUUCAGAGAAGCUCUCAGAACUGGUCUGACACUUCACUGGGGUCACAGUCUUGGAUUUCUGAUCAUAAAUCUUCUUUUUCUGUGGAAUGAACAGAAUGCACUGCUCAGUGUGGAUAACCAGAAAGAGAGAAGCAGCACAAAGCUGACAUCUGCCUGGCAUCCCAGAAUAGCUUCAAUGAAUCAUCUGAAUCCAGAUCUGAAGAACCUGAGGGCCUUAAAGCCUGUCCAUUUACUGGAAAGGAAUGCACUUCACUGAACAAUGUAGCUAUAGGAAAGCUGUUUCUAAAGUCUGUUUAGAGAACAACGAACAGUUGUCUUGAUUUAGUGUCUUUGGAUCUCUAACUUCUCUACUAUCAAUAUUUAAACCAAGGAGAAAAAACGCAACUGUCAUAGCAAGCACUAUAUUCACUUUACCCUACUGGUUCUGCAGUAACACAGCUUAGCUGAGAAAAGUCCUGGUUUUAAUAACGCUGCCGUACCAGGGAAAAGGAAAAUAAUUUUUAGAAGGGAAAAGCACAAGUCAAGCAAGAAAGGAAUUUUGUUUGUUUGUCUCUAGAGUUGCCUUUUUAUUUAAGAACACACAAUGGAAAGCAUAAAAAUCUCAGAAGAAUGAAGCAGACAACAGUGCCCUAAGGGAAAGGGAAGGAACACAGAGGCUGCACUCCAACAGCAGGCAAGAAUUAUUGGACUGUAAAUUGCCAAGUGGUGCAGAAUGAAAGCCCCCCCCAACCCAAAAGUAUGUAUUUAUGAUUAUACAUGGGCUGUCUUCUCAAUAGUUGCCAUGCUACAAUAUGCCUGCUAAGCAUCUGUUUCAUCCUGUCUGUGGGGCUUUUUAAAGUCAAUUUAAUGCCCACAAAAAGAGAUUCAGCACAUCUUUCAGGAGCCUGGGGAGAGCAGCAUUUAAAAUAUCACACACAAAGGUGACAAGCAGCAGCUAUUACACUUUCACUCUAAAAUCAAAAUGGAUCUCUAAACCAACGCAGGACAUUUGAACUGCUCUCCCCUAACAAAAGGGCCUCCCAGAAAAUAUUUUCCUAAAUACCAGUCACACAUGGAUUGUUUCACUGGAGCAAACAUUCAAGGUCACUUAACCCCCAAAAUCCUACUUCUUCUAGCUGAUUUCUGUGGAUCCUCAGAUACAGGACCCUUAAAAGCUUUUUCUCGUUUCAUAGCAUCAUGUCCAAGCACUAGCAUCAAAGCCUGCUACGUUUUGCAGACCCUAGCAUUAACCAAUGCUUCGUCCUACAUUUACCCGAAUUCUCAGUAACGGCGCAGCUAUUUAAUGCAU